rnacentral:lncRNA from 12 species
AUUCUCAAUAAAAGGAUCCCAAAUCCUGGGAAUUAUCCCCAAUUUUUCCUCUCCUGGAGCAGAACUUGGUUAUUGAUUAAUCCCUGGAUAAACAGAGCAGGAAAAACUGGAGGGAAAUCCUGGGGGGAAAUGAGGGGGAAUUUCCUUGGAUUUUUCCUUGAAUUUUUCCGUCUUUUUCCUUGAAAAUUUCCUUAAAUUUUCCCGUUUUUUUCUUUUAUUUUCCCUGAAUUUUUCCUUGAUUUUUCCUUAGUUUUCCCAUUAUUUUCCUUGAUUUUUCCCUGCUUUUUUUCAGGAUUUUCCCUUCAUUUUCCCUCCCCUUUCCUGGAUUUUUCCUAUGUUUUCCUGGAUUUUUCCUUCGUUUCCCCCCGCAUUUUUUGCCUGGAUUUCCCUGAAUUUUUCCAGGAUUUCCCCAGAUUUUUUCCUUGAUUUUCCUUGAUAUCCUUGUUUUUUCUCUGUUUUAUCUCAUUUCCCCCUAUUUUAUCCCCAUUUAAUCCAAUUUCCUCCUAUUUUAUCCCCAUUUUAUCCCAUUUUUUCCCCUGUUUUAUCCCCAUUUUCCCCAUUUAUCCCCAUUUCCCCCAUUUUAUCCCCAUUUGCCCCUUUAUCCCCCAUUUUCCCCGUUUCUUCUGUUUUUCUCCCCAUUUUCUCCUCAUUUCCCCCAUUUUCUCCUCAUUUCCCCCAUUUUUUCCCAUUUCCCCUAUUUUUCUCCCCAUUUUCCUCAUUUCUCCCAUUUUUCUUCUCAGUUUUCCUCUUUUUUUCUCUCCAUUUCCCCCAUUUUUCCCAUUUUUUUUCUGAUUUCCUCCCCAUUCCCCUUCCCCAUUUUUCCCACUUUUCUCUCCAUUUUCCCCAUUUUUCCAAUUUUUCCUCCCUUUUCACCCCAUUUCCCCCCAUUUCCCUCAUUUUUCUCCCCAUUUUCCCCAUUUAUCUCAUUUUUCUCCCCAUUUUUCCAUUUUUCCCAUUUUUCUCUCUAUUUUUCCCAUUUUCCCCACUUUCCUGUUUUUCUCCCCAUUUUUCCCAUUUCCCCGAUUUCCCCCCAUUUCUCUCCCCAUUUUUCCCAUUUUUCCUGGUUUCCCAUUUUUCUCUCUAUUUUUCCCAUUUUCCCCACUUUCCUGUUUUUCUCCCCAUUUUUCCCAUUUCCCCGAUUUCCCCCCAUUUCUCUCCUCAUUUUUCCCAUUUUUCCUGGUUUUUCCCCAUUUUCCCAAUGCUCCCAUUUUCUCCCUAUUUUUCCCAUUUUUCUCCCCAUUUUUCCGUCUUUUCUCCCCAUUUCCCCAUUCAAAUUUCCCCCCAUUUUUCUCCCCAUUUCCCCCAUUUUUCUCCCCAUUUCCCCAUUUCCCCAUUUUUCCCAUUUCCCCAAUUUUCCCAUUUUUCUCCCCAUUUCCCCAGCCCUCUCCGCUCUCCCCCGCUGUCUCCUCUCCUUCCCGCCCCUGUACCUGACCCUGUUCUCCAGCACAUUUCCCACACUUUUAUCCCCAUUUUUCCCAAUUUACUCAAUUUUCCCGUUUUUCUCCCCGUUUUUUCCCCAGACCGCUCCACUCUGCCGCGCUGUCUCCGCUCCUUCCCGGCCGUGUACCUGAGCCUGGCUCUGACCUCGCUGCUGCUGCUCACCCUCAGCGCCCUGGCGCUCGCCAGAGGUGGGACACACCCAAAAUUCCCAAAAGUUCCCACGAAAUUCCCACGAAAUUCCCAAAAUUCCAAAAAAAUCCCGGAAUUCCUGACAUCGUAACUCCCAAAUCCUGGAAUUCCUCCUCGUUCCCAAAAUCCUGAAUUCCCUCAUUCCCAAACCCUGGAAUUCUCAAAAUUCCCAGAAUCCCCGAAUCCCUGAAUUCCCUCAUUCCCAAAUCCCUGAAUUCCCAAAUUCCUGAGUUCCCAAAAUUCCCAAAUCCCAAAUCCUUGAUUUCCCUCAUUCCCAAAUCCUGGAAUUCCCAAAAUGCCCAACCGAAUUCCUGAAUUCUCCAAUUCCCAAAUCCCUGAAUUCCCAGAUUCACAAAUUCCCAGAAUUCCCAAAUCCCAAAUUCCUGAAUCCCCAAAUUCCCUGAAUUCCCUCAUUCCCAAAUUCUCCAAAUCCCUGAAUUCCCCAAUUCCUGAGUUCCCAAAAUUCCCAAAUCCUUGACUUCCCUCAUUCCCGAAUCCUGGAAUUCCCAAAAUGCCCAAAUUCCCUCAUUCCCUAAAUCCCUGAAUUCCAAAAUUCCUGAAUUCCCAAAAAUCCCAAGAAUCCCAAAAUUCCCAAAUUCCCUGAAUUUCCAAAAUCCCUGAAUUCCCAAAUUUCCUCAUUCCCCAAAUUCCUGAAUUCCCAAAAAUACCAAAAUCCCAAAAUUCCUGAAUUCCCAGAUUCCCCAAACUCCUGAAUUCCCAAAUCCUGGACUCCCAAAAUUCCCAAAAAUCACGCUCUUCCGAUCUCUCCCAAAAUUCCCAAAAAUCCCACAAUUCCCUCCUUCCCAACCCAAUCCCAAAAUUCAAAAUUUCCAGGAAAUUUUUCCCAAUUUUUUUCCCAGUUUCCUCCAUUUCCUCCAAACUCCACCAGGAGCCCCUGCAACAGAAUUUUUCCAACUCGGAUUCC